rnacentral:rRNA from 1 species
UACGAAGGGGGCUAGCGUUGCUCGGAAUCACUGGGCGUAAAGGGUGCGUAGGCGGGUCUUUAAGUCAGGGGUGAAAUCCUGGAGCUCAACUCCAGAACUGCCUUUGAUACUGAAGAUCUUGAGUUCGGGAGAGGUGAGUGGAACUGCGAGUGUAGAGGUGAAAUUCGUAGAUAUUCGCAAGAACACCAGUGGCGAAGGCGGCUCACUGGCCCGAUACUGAC